rnacentral:rRNA from 1 species
UCCGUAGGUGAACCUGCGGAGGGAUCAUUACCGAGUUUACAACUCCCAAACCCCUGUGAACAUACCAAUUGUUGCCUCGGCGGAUCAGCCCGCUCCCGGUAAAACGGGACGGCCCGCCAGAGGACCCCUAAACUCUGUUUCUAUAUGUAACUUCUGAGUAAAACCAUAAAUAAAUCAAAACUUUCAACAACGGAUCUCUUGGUUCUGGCAUCGAUGAAGAACGCAGCAAAAUGCGAUAUGUAAUGUGAAUUGCAGAAUUCAGUGAAUCAUCGAAUCUUUGAACGCACAUUGCGCCCGCCAGUAUUCUGGCGGGCAUGCCUGUUCGAGCGUCAUUUCAACCCUCAAGCCCCCGGGUUUGGUGUUGGGGAUCGGCGAGCCCUUGCGGCAAGCCGGCCCCGAAAUCUAGUGGCGGUCUCGCUGCAGCUUCCAUUGCGUAGUAGUAAAACCCUCGCAACUGGUACGCGGCGCGGCCAAGCCGUUAAACCCCCAACUUCUGAAUGUUGACCUCGGAUCAGGUAGGAAUACCCGCUGAACUUAAGCAUAUCAAUAAGCGGAGGA